CAAUUUUUCAAUAAAAAAACAAUUUUUUUAAUGAUUUUUGUAAACUUCAUUGUUAAUAAAUAUUUAUGAAAUGGUUAUCUUGGAUUUUGUAAAAACGGCUUUUUUAAACAUUUAACUUUUUUAUUUUUAGUUUAAAAAAAAAUAAAUAUUAAAAAAUAGUGCAAGGUUCUAGAAAUUAUUACAAGAAAAAAAAAACUUAAAAAUAAUUUUUGGUAUCUAGUCUUCAUGUUGCAUUUUGUAUAAAUGUGUGUUUAUUUUUGAAUUUAAUAUUGUAAAUAGUGUGAUAAGCGUCAUCUACUGUAACACAAAACAUUAAGAUUUAUUAUAAAAGUAAUUUUUAGGUAAAUACUAAAUGUAUCAAAUUAGAUUUGAAUGGAUUUAAUUUUUGAAAAUUGGUGGUUAUAAAUAAAUACUAGUAAAAACUAGAACAUUUAAUUUAAUAUGCAAGACAGCUAUUGAUAGUAGGUAUAUGGUAGUGUUGGUUAUUAUAGUAACCUAUUUAUUUACUAUCAUUAACUUAGUAUCAUAAUAAAUUAUUGGCUAUAAAUACUUUUUAUAGGUCCCUUUUGGUUGGGGUAUCAUAGAGUAAUAUUUUAGUAAUUACUCUUUGGCUGGUAUGUACUAGUGCCCUGCACGGGCCUGAUUUUUAAAUCCCAAGCCUGUCCAAUAUUUUGUUUACAUAGAUUUAGCCCGGCCCAUCUUAAUGAAAAAUAUUACAAUGGAUUACAAAUAUUUAUUUACAUUUAUUUCUGAUAAUCUUAAAAAUAAUAAUGCAUCAAUAGUUUCUGCUUUUAAGCAAGAUCUUCUUUUUUCGAUCACUCAAAAUUUGAUAAGUGCACUUCCUAUUUAACCCAUGUAAUUCUAGUAUUGGAAAUACUAAAGUUAUUAAUAGAUUUGUGAAAUUCAUAUAAAAUUUGAUAAGUGCACUUCUUAUUCGGCCCGCGUCCAUAGUUAAAAUAUGAUCUUGUAAGCCCGGCCAGGCCCAAGUCCGGUUCCGGGCCGGUUCUUGCUGGGCUCUAGUAUGUACCACAUACGUAAAAAUGAAUAAAUCAAAUUGUUUUUUUUAUAUACACCACCAUAGAAAUUAAUUUGUAGAUAUUGUUGGAUAGUACCACAGCAAUAGAUUAGAUUUAUAGCCGUGGAUAGUACCUGACUAUAGUAGUGUUCUUAUUUAUUUAAUUUUGAUAGUAACAUCAAUAGUCUUAUCAAUUUUAGGUGGUACACACGUCCGUCGAAUCUGUUUCGUUCAGUCGUAAUUUUUCAUCAGUUAUUUGAAUGUUAAUACCACGUCAACUCGAAGAGUAAAAACUUUAAUUACCUAUCUAGUAAUCUCCACAUUUACAUGGUUGGUUAAACCAGUGUACUGAAAAUCGAAACUCACAAACCUGAAAUAAAGUAUGUCUGGGUACUACCUACAUUAUAUUGGCCAUCGGGUAUGUAUCAUAAAUCGUAAUAGUACCUAUAUUGCAAAAUUAUUAAAUUAUCUACCUAUGACCUACCUAAGUUAUUCGACUGUCAAUAAAUAAUUCUACAUUAUUAAUUAUUAAUUAUUAUAUUUUUACACAUAAUAUAACGAUAAUUAGGUUUAUGUAAUAUGUUGAUAGGUAGCUAUUUAAUUGGUAUCUACGUUUUCAUAUUAUAAUGAUUGUACUGAUUGUAAUGAGUUGACGAUUGACUGUCUUUAAAAAAUAAUUGCACAU